rnacentral:lncRNA from 1 species
UGUUUCUCCCCGUUCCCCCCGGUACAGACUGCCUCGGAAAGAUCUGGGGCCCUCCGCGUUCGGGAAAGAUUCAGAUACCACAGGAUAUUCAGAUACUGGGCUGCUUACUGGUUAUGGAGACAUAAAAAAAUGCAGUUGUAAAUGGCAACAAGUCAAACUGGGCCUCUGACUAUAAAGGUGUGAAGACCACUCUCUCCAGGGCAAGUAAGAAGUAGGACAGCACAGCCAGGAACAAGAAGGCAGGCAGACAGACACAGGACCGUCUUCCUUUCACUGAAGAGGAGUUUUGGAGCACUUGAGCCCCAACACCAUGAAGCGACUCAGGCUGCCUCGGUCAGUGCUACACCCAGAAGGGGAGGACAGCAUAAAGCCGACCCCCAGCGGGGCGGACACCGCGGCUGGGUCCCGCUCACAGGUGCGCGUCCCGCGUGGGCUUUAAGCGGCUUCCACGGGCCACCGGCCGCGUCCCCUCGGCUGGCCGAA